rnacentral:rRNA from 1 species
UUCGCAAUGCCCGAAAGGGUGAACGAGCGACGCCGCGUGCGGGAUGAAGGCCUUCGGGUUGUAAACCGCUUUUGCAAGGGAAAAACUUAAUGAUGGUACCUUGCGAAUAAGAGGUUACUAACUCUGUGCCAGCAGUAGCGGUAAUACAGAGACCUCAAGCGUUAUCCGGAUUUAUUGGGCGUAAAGCGCGGGUAGGCGGAUAUAUUAGUCAGAUGUCAAAUCCUCGAGCUCAACUCGAGAACUGCAUUUGAAACGGUAUUCCUAGAGAGUGUGAGAGACCAGUGGAACUCAUGGUGUAGCGGUGAAAUGCGUUGAGAUCGGAAGGAACGCCCGUGGCGAAAGCGAGGUCCUGGACGUCUGCUGACGCUGAGACGCGAAAGCUAGGGGAGCAAACGGGAUUAGAUACCCCGGUAGUCCUAGCCGUAAACGAUGGGCACUAAGUAGAGGGGUUUU